CAGCACCUCAAGUGGUCAGGAUGAUUAUUGGGCCUAAAGCAUCCGUAGCCGGCGCUGUAAGUUUUCGGUUAAAUCUGUACGCUCAACGUACAGGCUGCCGGGAAUACUGCAGCGCUAGGGAGUGGGAGAGGUAGACGGUACUCGGUAGGAAGGGGUAAAAUCCUUUGAUCUAUUGAUGACCACCUGUGGCGUAGGCGGUCUACCAGAACACGUCCGACGGUGAGGGAUGAAAGCUGGGGGAGCAAACCGGAUUAGAUACCCGCGUAGUCC
rnacentral:rRNA from 1 species